rnacentral:rRNA from 1 species
AUGGAACAUUUUGGGAUAAUGUACCCUGGUUUUUCUCGAAAAACCCUAUGGUUCUUUAUGGAUCCUCUUAUGCAUUACGUUCGAUAUCAAGGAAAGGCAAUUCUUGCAUCAAAAGGCACUUUUUUGAAGAAGAAAUGGAAAUGCUACCUUAUCAAUUUAUGGCAAUAUUAUUUCUGUUUUUGGACUCAACCGCGAAGAAUCCAUAUAAACCAAUUAGCAAACUCUUGCUUCGAUUUUAUGGGGUACCUUUCAAGUGUACCAAAAAGUUCUUUGUUAGUAAGGAAUUAA